AUAAACGAAGACUUUUUUCAUGCGCAUGUCGUACGCUUUACUUGUUGCUUGUUUCUCGCGUUAAAUAACCGGUAGAAUGAGAAAAUUCGUCCAUCAGUAACAAAUACAGUUAAGCAGAUAUUAAAUGAUGUCUCCUUGUGAUCAAAAGUGGUGUUAGAACAGCUUGCAAACGUUCUACCGUGACGUUUCGUUGCAGCGGCAAGUGGUCGGGAAAAAUGCGAAUGACACGGAAAAGAUCUCUAAUAACUAAAGAGCGUUUAGUUCUGACAGUCUGCAAUUUCCUAAAGGACAAUUCACGUAAAGUUAAUUGCAAUAUAAAGGCAAAAUAAUUUUCGUUUCCUACUGCAGUUGGGCGUUGACUUGUGUUUUUGUUUUUAAGUUACAAAUGAUGCCAAGGACUUUUGAAAUUCAAUCCGGAAAUAUCGCUACGGUUUUGCCUUUCUCCUAGAAAGGUAUAGCAAUUACUGCAAAAACUAAAUAUAUGAAAGUGCUCCAGAGGGCGGAAGGUCGUAUAUCACUCGACUUAGUUCGACGAGAUGAGCAUUUUCUGUCUGUAUGUAUGUAUGUGUGUAUGUGUGUGCGUGUGUGUGUGUGUGUGUGUGUGUGUAUGUGCAACUUUUUAUUCUGACUCACUUUUCUCAGAGAUGGCUAGACCGAUUUCCGUGAAAUUAAUUGCAAAGGUGUAGUUACCCCAUAGGAUGCUAUUGAAUUUCAUUGUAAUCGGAUUUUUGGUUUAGAGGUUAUGUAUCAAAAUGUAAAAAUCACGAAACAUCAAUAUCUCAGAAACUACACAACAAAACUGAUGUCAAAUGAACGGGCUAUCUUCAAAACUCUUAACUUAUAAAUUUCAUAAAGAUUAAACAUAUGGUUCAAAAGUUAUGUAAAGAAAUGUUUUCCAGAGGCUUUUUAAACUCACUCAUUUUUCUCAGAGAUGGCUGGACCGAUUUUCACAAAACUAGCCUCAAUUGAAAGACCUAGUUGUCAUAUAGGUUGCUAUUGAAUUUCAUUGUGAUCGGUUUGUAACUUUGUCCGUUAUUUAUAAAAAUGUCAAAUCACGUUAUAAAAGCAAAGCAUAUAUCGAAAACUGCUUAAACUCACUUAAUUUUCUCAGAAAUGGCUAGACCGGUUUUCACGAAAUUAGUUGAAAAUGAAAGGUCUAGUGGACUCAUAACACCCUAUUACCCCUAACCCUUAACUUUUGAAUUUUAUGAAGAUUGAACUUGUGGCUCAGAAGUAAUGGAAAGAAACGUGUUCUGGAGACUAUUUAAUCUCACUCAUGUUUCUCAGAGAUGGCUGGACCGAUUUUCAUAAAAUCAGUGUCAUAUGGAAGUUCUUGUUGCCCCAUAAGACCCUAUUGAUUUUUCUUACAAACGGAUUAUUACUUCGCCUGUUAUGUUUAAAAAUGUGAAAUUCAGCUAUAAAAAGAAACAUAUUCCGAAGACUACAUAAACUCACUCACUUUUUUCAGAGAUGGUUGAAGCGAUUUCCACAAAAUUAGUGUCAAAUGAAAGGUUUAGCUGCCUCAUAACACCUUAUUGAAUUUUGCUGUAAUCGGACUGUAACUUCGUCUGUAAUGUAUCGAAAUGUGAAAAUCACGAAACUUCAUUAUCUUAGAAACUACACAACCGAUUUGAACAAUAUUGAUAUCAGAUGAACAGGCUAGUUAAGGGUUAACUGAUGAAAUAUGAUUGAACACGUGGUUUCAAAGUUUGGCUGCCCUAUACGUUCCCUUUUCAUUUGAUUAUAAUCGAACUUAAGCAACCAUUAUUCAUUAAAUUGUCAAAACAACGAAAGUCUAUUAUCAAGACUUGGUUGAACAUAAGUAGUGUCAUACAAACGAGUCAUCUCUCAAACUUACAAAUAACAAACUUCAUAACAAUUUGAUAUGUGGUUCAAAAGUUUUGGAAAGAGAAUAAAUUCAAAGACUAUUCAAAACUAUACCUGCUUUGAUCAAUAUAUAUGGCCUCAACAUGAUUUAAAUGUGGCAUCGUAGUAUUUGAACGUUCCCGUUAUCGCUCGUGAUUAAAUUGUUCGAAAUUAAGAGUCAUUUCAUUUAUUUCGCUGUUUUUUAAGGACUAACAUUGCGUCAAAUUUCAUAUUUCAUACUUCAAUUACAACAUCAAUAUUUUGGAACCCAAAGAGUGAAUAUACUUUUAUUGGAUUUCAGCAUUAAUGUAAAUCUAUUUUUACAAAUAAUAAGUUUGAAUGAGAAAGGCUGAGUCUGACCGCUAGGUGGAUUAAUUUAGGUUUUUUUCCCUGGUGCUACAUUUCGUAUCGGAAUUCGAUUGUUUUACUUUACACAGACUUCGCAGCCGACUCCAGCAUCGUACCUUGAGACCAGCUGGGAGAUUCCGGCAGCAAUGGUUACGGAUAAAAAAAAAUUAUUUCGAUCAGUUCAUGACCUUCUCGAAGAAGAUGGGCUGGAAUAUUUAACGAUGCUCGCCAUGUUUUUAAUGGGGAUGAAAUAGGUUUUUGUCUUGAUCCGGAUACAAAAACAGGGAUCAUUCCCAAAAAGUCUAAAAAUGCCUAUUUGAUUAGCACAGGCUCGAAAAAAUAUUACUGUUCUGAAUAGCUACGGUGUAGCUGGCGUAGCGGUGCCUCCUUGUGUCAUUCUACCGUAUCAUUGAUUACCUAAUGCUGUAGUCCAAAGUUGCCCUCCCGAAUGGAGUUUGUGUAAAUCAGAAACCGGAUGGAUGACAGAAGAUACAUUUUUGGCCUAUAUCAGGAACAUAUCAUAUCCAUACUUACUGAAAAAAAAAAUUCAACUGCCAAUAUUUAUAUUGUUGACGGACACCGGAGUCAUACUCCGUUCGAAACAGCAGAAGAAUGGGCGAAGCUCGGAAUAAUCCUGGUGUGUUUGAACGCAAGCAGCACACACAUUAUGCAGCCAGCAGACGAUACUAUAUUUUGCUCUCUUAAAGCAAAACUGCAUUAUUUGCUCAAGUUCGCCUGUGGCAACUGGACAAUCCAGGUCACAAUUCGGUAAUAAUAUAAAGAAAGCAAUUACCGCUGUUUCAAUUACUUUGCCUGCCCAUUUACCUGCACGGCGAGAAAAGGAUGUGGUUAUUCCACGCCAGCUUCUAAUUGAAUCGAUGCAGCUGAUCGUCCUGAGAAAGCAAUUUUAUAUCGAGAGAUUCAGGUUUUAAAAUCAUUUCCGAUAGAGUCGGAAAGCAUUUUAUGUAAACUGUAUAAAUAGACAUUUUAAGAGUGGGAUGAUCGGAACUUUGAUUUGUAAGAAUUUACUGUGGAAUCCUCUAAUGCUGGUAGCCAUAUUGAUAUCUUGAGAAAUAGUGGGGACGAUGUAAAUAUUAUCAUGUUUAACGAGGAGAAAACUUUUGAGACUGAAGAGAGGAAGUUUUCAAACACUGCAGAAACCAUGUUUUUCGAUGAUUCUGUAAUACAACUCUCAGUGACAUCUGAUAAUUCAUCACACCUGAACCUUUUGAAAGUGAGCGGUGCUCCUAAAUUUGUGUCCUUUAAUAUUACUGAUCCUACGGUUACUGUGGAAGUGAACUCAAUAAAAAUUGAACCAGUUACAGAAACGAGUGAAACUGAAUUUCAUCAACAUUGAUUUUGGAGAAAUGCUCAUCACAGUCGAUACUCAAAAUCAUGAAUAUUCCGAUCAUUGUGCCGCUGAAAAGGAUUCAGCCCAUGCAGAAUCUGAGCUUACCACAUCAGUUUCAUUUUCUGGGAAUGAACAGACUUUAUAUUCAACAGAGAUCACUAGAAAUAUCUCACAGAAAAAGGUAUAUCGCGGUUUCUUACUGAACCUGACACGCUCAAGAAAAAAAAUAAAAAAUCAAAUGACAAAAGAGUCCUCUAGUUUCAACUUCGAAGAAGCGUUUGGAGUUACAUCUUCAAAAAGAACAAAAGAAAGAGAAUAUGAGAUUGGAAAAACUUUUGAAAGUAGAAAACAAACAUAUGGGAAAGAUUAAGCGAGCAUAUGAGAAACAAUUAAUGAUGAAUAAAAAAGUGACUGAUAAGUUUCAACGUUCAACCAUCAUUUAGAUAGUUUAAGCAAACAGCAUGAUAUCAAGCCACUACAAAGCGUUUAUAAUGACAUCAGCUACAAAUGUGCCGUUAAUUUGUUUUCUUGCUGACUAAUGAACUAAAAUUAAGUCGAACUGUUGGACAUGGCGCCGGUUCUCCGCGGGUCGCAAGUUAGGAUACUGUAUCAAGUCACCUCCCCGGGCGUCGGUGACUGGCACAACAACAGUGGCGGAACUAGACCGACGGAAAAUAAGCGAGAAUAGAAAAAUCAUCAUCAUCGAAGUAGGCGUGUGCGUUGCGAAUAGACGUCAUUUUUCGAGUCCGCGUUUUUUUUUCAGAGGAACCCGGGUAAAAUAUUAUAUAA